rnacentral:rRNA from 1 species
UACAGAGGGGGCAAGCGUUAUUCGGAAUUAUUGGGCGUAAAGGGCGCGUAGGCGGCCUGGCAAGUGGAAGGUGAAAUCCCUCGGCUUAACCGAGGAACUGCCCUCCAAACUGCUUGGCUUGAGUCCGGGAGAGGUGAGUGGAAUUCCCAGUGUAGCGGUGAAAUUCGUAGAUAUUAGGAAGAACACCGGUGGCGAAGGCGGCCAUCUGGCUCGGUACUGACGCUCAGGCGCGAAAGCGUGGGGAGCAAACAGG